UGAAGACCAACCUAGCUGAUGAUCCUGGGCAGUUUGUUUGGGCGAAAUAUUCUUUAGAAGACUUUUCUGUGGCCCCAGUCAUCCCAGACACACUAUGAAGUAACCAUAUUCAUGCUGACCUUGAUGCAAACGUUGCUAGACAAACUUCCAGCCUGGGAGAUGCUGAAACUUAUGUCCACCUGAUGUUCCAGUCUGAAGAAUCCAAUCGUGUGAGAUAUUCUGUAGAGGUUUUCACCACGUCCGUAGUCAUCUGAGACUCACUGUCACCCCGAUGAACCUAUGUUCCUCCUGAUCUGGUGCAAAUGUUGCUAGACAAACUUCCAGCCUUGAAGACAAGAAACUCAAUUUCACCUGGUGGUCCAAUCUACACAAUCCAGCUGUGUGAGAUGUUCCUUGGAGGUUUUCACCACGUCCUUAGUCAUCUGAGAGUCACUGUCACCCUGAUGUACCUAUGCUCCUCCUGAUCUGGUGCAAAUGUUGCUAGACAAACUUCUAGCCUGGAAGACGAGAAAUUCAUUUUCGCCUGAUGUUCCAAUCUGCAGAAUCAUCUGUGUGAGAUGUUCUGUGGAGGUUUUCACCACAUCAUUAGUUAUCUGAGCUGUCAUCUAUCCUGUUUAGAGUCACUGUCACCCCGAUGUACCUGUGUUCCUCCUGAUGUGGUGCAAACGUUGCUAGACAAAUUUCCAGUCUGGAAGAUGAGAAAUUCAUUUUCGCCUGAUGUUCCAAUCUGCAGAAUCAUCUGUGUGAGAUGUUCUGUGGAGGUUUUCACCA